GAGCCUUCUGUGGCAAACAGAUAAAAAUGUCUACCCUCUGUGUCAUAAAACAGUCAUUUAAUGUGUAAAUGGUAUGAAUUUAUUAUCAUAAAGGUAUUUUGUAUAGAAAACAAUGAAUGUGCUUAGAAGUUUUGCAAAAAACAGAUGUUAGCACACAGUUCAAAGAAAAAUUAAGUGAAUACAUGCAUCAGACUGGUAACUUCAUACAUG
rnacentral:lncRNA from 1 species